rnacentral:rRNA from 1 species
AUUGAACGCUGGCGGCAGGCCUAACACAUGCAAGUCGAGCGAGCGGCGGACGGGUGAGUAAUGUAUGGGGACUGCCCGAUAGAGGGGGAUAACUACUGGAAACGGUGGCUAAUACCGCAUACUAGUAGAAGACCUGCGUUGUAUUAGCUAGUAGGUAGGGUAAUGGCCGACCUAGGCAACGUGACAUGGCCGAACUGAGAGGGUGAUCGGCCACGCUGGGACUGAGACACGGCCCAGACUCCUACGGAGGCAGCAGUGGGGAAUAUUGCACAAUGGGCGCAAGCCUGAUGCAGCCAUGCCGCGUGUAUGAAGAAGGCCUUCGGGUUGUAAAGUACUUUCAGUCUGGAGGCGUUACCGACAGAAGAAGCACCGGCUAACUCCGUGCCAGCAGCCGCGGUAAUUC